UACGUAGGGGGCAAGCGUUGUCCGGAAUCAUUGGGCGUAAAGAGCGUGUAGGCGGCUUGGUAAGUCCGCUGUGAAAGUCCAGGGCUCAACCCUGGAAUGCCGGUGGAAACUGUCAAGCUUGAGUCCGGAAGAGGCGAGUGGAAUUCCUGGUGUAGCGGUGAAAUGCGCAGAUAUCAGGAGGAACACCGGUGGCGAAGGCGGGUCUCUGGGCCGAUAUUGACGCUGAGGAGCGAAAGCGUGGGGAGCGAACAGG
rnacentral:rRNA from 1 species